rnacentral:rRNA from 3 species
AAAUUGAAGAGUUUGAUCAUGGCUCAGAUUGAACGCUGGCGGCAGGCCUAACACAUGCAAGUCGAGCGGAAACGAGUUAUCUGAACCUUCGGGGAACGAUAACGGCGUCGAGCGGCGGACGGGUGAGUAAUGCCUAGGAAAUUGCCCUGAUGUGGGGGAUAACCAUUGGAAACGAUGGCUAAUACCGCAU